rnacentral:rRNA from 1 species
GAUGAACGCUGGCGGCGUGCCUAAUACAUGCAAGUCGAGCGAACAGACGAGGAGCUUGCUCCUCUGACGUUAGCGGCGGACGGGUGAGUAACACGUGGAUAACCUACCUAUAAGACUGGGAUAAAUUCGGGAAACCGGAGCUAAUACCGGAUAAUAUAUUGAACCGCAUGGUUCAAUAGUGAAAGACGGUUUUGCUGUCACUUAUAGAUGGAUCCGCGCCGCAUUAGCUAGUUGGUAAGGUAACGGCUUACCAAGGCGACGAUGCGUAGCCGACCUGAGAGGGUGAUCGGCCACACUGGAACUGAGACACGGUCCAGACUCCUACGGGAGGCAGCAGUAGGGAAUCUUCCGCAAUGGGCGAAAGCCUGACGGAGCAACGCCGCGUGAGUGAUGAAGGUCUUCGGAUCGUAAAACUCUGUUAUUAGGGAAGAACAAAUGUGUAAGUAACUAUGCACGUCUUGGCGGUACCUAAUCAGAAAGCCACGGCUAACUACGUG